UACUCAGUCAGAUGCAGGCUGCAACCCGCCUGCAUGAAGUCGGAAUUGCUAGUAAUCGCGGAUCAGCAUGCCGCGGUGAAUACGUUCCCGGGCCUUGUACACACCGCCCGUCACACCAUGGGAGCCGGUAAUACCCGAAGUCAGUAGUCCAACCUCGUGAGGACGCUGCCGAAGGUAGGAUUGGCGACUGGGGUGAAGUCGUAACAAGGUAGC
rnacentral:rRNA from 1 species